rnacentral:rRNA from 1 species
AAUCCAUAGGUUAAUGAGGCGAACCGGGGGAACUGAAACAUCUAAGUACCCCGAGGAAAAGAAAUCAACCGAGAUUCCCCCAGUAGCGGCGAGCGAACGGGGAGGAGCCCAGAGCCUGAAUCAGCAUGUGUGUUAGUGGAAGCGUCUGGAAAGGCGCGCGAUACAGGGUGACAGCCCCGUACACAAAAGCGCAUGUGUUGUGAGCUCGAUGAGUAGGGCGGGACACGUGGUAUCCUGUCUGAAUAUGGGGGGACCAUCCUCCAAGGCUAAAUACUCCUGACUGACCGAUAGUGAACCAGUACCGUGAGGGAAAGGCGAAAAGAACCCCGGCGAGGGGAGUGAAAAAGAACCUGAAACCGUGUACGUACAAGCAGUGGGAGCACAGGUUUACCUGUGUGACUGCGUACCUUUUGUAUAAUGGGUCAGCGACUUAUAUUCUGUAGCAAGGUUAACCGUAUAGGGGAGCCGGAGGGAAACCGAGUCUUAAUUGGGCGUUAAGUUGCAGGGUAUAGACCCGAAACCCGGUGAUCUAGCCAUGGGCAGGUUGAAGGUUGGGUAACACUAACUGGAGGACCGAACCGACUAAUGUUGAAAAAUUAGCGGAUGACCUGUGGCUGGGGGUGAAAGGCCAAUCAAACCGGGAGAUAGCUGGUUCUCCCCGAAAGCUAUUUAGGUAGCGCCUCGUGAAUUCAUCUCCGGGGGUAGAGCACUGUUUCGGCUAGGGGGCCAUCCCGGCUUACCAACCCGAUGCAAACUGCGAAUACCGGAGAAUGUUAUCACGGGAGACACACGGCGGGUGCUAACGUCCGUCGUGAAGAGGGAAACAACCCAGACCGCCAGCUAAGGUCCCAAAGUCAUGGUUAAGUGGGAAACGAUGUGGGAAGGCCCAGACAGCCAGGAUGUUGGCUUAGAAGCAGCCAUCAUUUAAAGAAAGCGUAAUAGCUCACUGGUCGAGUCGGCCUGCGCGGAAGAUGUAACGGGGCUAAACCAUGCACCGAAGCUGCGGCAGCGAACGUAUCACCCAAGACAACUUUGCGGAGUUGACGAUUGACGGAGCGAAGCGACGUCAAAGCGUUCAUUAAAGUCGAGUUGGCUUAGGGAUACGUUCGUUGGGUAGGGGAGCGUUCUGUAAGCCAGUGAAGGUGUGUCGUGAGGCAUGCUGGAGGUAUCAGAAGUGCGAAUGCUGACAUAAGUAACGAUAAAGCGGGUGAAAAGCCCGCUCGCCGGAAGACCAAGGGUUCCUGUCCAACGUUAAUCGGGGCAGGGUGAGUCGACCCCUAAGGCGAGGCCGAAAGGCGUAGUCGAUGGGAAACGGGUUAAUAUUCCCGUACUUGGUGUUACUGCGAAGGGGGGACGGAGAAGGCUAUGUUGGCCGGGCGACGGUUGUCCCGGUUUAAGCGUGUAGGUGUGUGUUCCAGGUAAAUCCGGUUCACUUUAACACUGAGGCGUGAUGACGAGGCACUACGGUGCUGAAGCAACAAAUGCCCUGCUUCCAGGAAAAGCCUCUAAGCAUCAGGUAACAUCAAAUCGUACCCCAAACCGACACAGGUGGUCAGGUAGAGAAUACCAAGGCGCUUGAGAGAACUCGGGUGAAGGAACUAGGCAAAAUGGUGCCGUAA